CACGCCCUAAACGAUGCUAACUCGACGUACGGGAGUAAUUUUGUGCGUCCAAGCGAAAGCGAUAAGUUAGCCACCUGGGGAGUACGUUCGCAAGAAUGAAACUCAAAGGAAUUGACGGGG
rnacentral:rRNA from 1 species